GCUAACCAACCAACACAGAGGAGUCACGAAGAAGAAGCAGCCGGAAGUGUGUGUUUUCCAGCUGUCUCGGUCGGGUGGUCUGAUGGGCAGAGUGAGAGACACCCCCUGGAGGUCAUUCCUAUGGUUCUACCUGGAACCCGGAACCUGGAACCCGGAGUCGAGUCAUCGAAUGUUCCACCUGCUGCCAGUCAAGCCGGCAGAAGACGGAGGGCAGAAAUGAACGCAGACGAGAGGAGGGAUGGGUGAAGAUUGGCAGGCUCGCGGAAGGCCACAAAAGCCGGCGGACUCGAUGCCUUGAGAUCAGACAAUCAGACCUGAUGGCUUUGGGAGGCUCAGUCAGCUUAGGGCUCGGAAAAUGAUGGGAGGAUGAUGAGGAGGGUUAGAGAAUCUCAGAGAGGAAUAGAAGUGGAAGGAGGAGAAGGAAAAGAAAAAUGGUAUUAGAGUAAGUAAUACAACACAAAAGGACAAAGGAUUUCGGCGAUGGAGAUUGCAGAAACCACUGGCGGAGGAAGUGGGGCGAUUUCUUUUUUUUUCUGCUGAGGGCUAUGUGUGGGUUCGGAGUGGAUCGGGUGUUGUUUAAUGUCACCAAACAGACCCCGAGCACCGAGCCCCUCCCUGGGUGUAAA